rnacentral:rRNA from 1 species
AAUUGGAGGGCAAGUCUGGUGCCAGCAGCCGCGGUAAUUCCAGCUCCAAUAGCGUAUAUUAAAGUUGUUGCAGUUAAAAAGCUCGUAGUUGAAUUUCGGGGUUAGUAGGUUGGUCAUGCCUCUGGUAUGUACUGAUCUCACUGAUUCCUCCUUCCUUAUGAACCGUAAUGCCAUUAAUUUGGUGUUGCGGGGAAUUUGGACUGUUACUUUGAAAAAAUUAGAGUGUUUAAAGCAGGCUAACGCUUGAAUACAUUAGCAUGGAAUAAUGAAAUAGGACGUUCGAUCUUAUUUUGUUGGUUUCUAGGAUUGACGUAAUGAUUAAUAGGGAUAGUUGGGGGCAUUAGUAUUCAAUUGUCAGAGGUGAAAUUCUUGGAUUUAUUGAAGACUAACUAAUGCGAAAGCAUUUGCCAAGGAUGUUUUCAUUAAUCAAGAACGAAAGUUAGGGGAUCGAAGACGAUCAGAUACCGUCGUAGUCUUAACCAUAAACUAUGCCGACUAGGGAUCGGAUGAUGUUAAUUUUUUAAUGACUCAUUCGGCGCCUUACGGGAAACCAAAGUGU